GAUGUGGUGGCUCAGUGGUUAAGCUUUUGUAUCACACAAAAGAAGGUCAUGUGUUCAAAUCCCAGGACCAUCA